rnacentral:misc_RNA from 1 species
CCAGAGUUAUACCUAGUAAGUAUUUUAUCGAAAUUUAAACCCUUCAACUUGUGGUGGCUACAUAUGAAUAAUUGCUACAUUACAUAUUUAUAAAUUUCUACCUUUAUUUUUGAAAUUUUAAAUGUUCAGGUGGAAGAAGACAUGAAGGAGUGAACGAGGAAGGAAUUAAAUUUUAUAAUAGUGUUAUCAAUGAAAUUAAAAACAAAGGUGAUAAUGAUCUCCUUUCCUCUUAAAGGAUUCAAGAUGGCAAAUAGAAAAUUUAUGUCUCUAAUUAAUAUUAAGAAAAUAUGUCAAAAUGAUAAUAAUAUUAAAAGGUUGUGUUUUUUGUAUUUCCAUUUUAAAAGCAUAAUAAAACACCAUAUAUUUUUAUUGGAAAAUUUGAAAAACUAGCAAAAUUACACCAAAUAUUUUCUUGUCCCUUAAUGAAGUUAGAAAAUUACAUCAAACUUCUAAUUUAUUUUGUUGUAAAAUUCAGGAUUAGAGCCUUUUGUUACUAUUUUUCACUGGGAUACUCCUCAAGCCCUAGAG